AGCCUGAUGCAGCGACGCCGCGUGGGGGAUGACGGCCUUCGGGUUGUAAACCCCUUUCAGCACAGACGAAGCGCAAGUGACGGUAUGUGCAGAAGAAGCACCGGCCAACUACGUGCCAGCAGCCGCGGUAAUACGUAGGGUGCGAGCGUUGUCCGGAAUUACUGGGCGUAAAGAGCUCGUAGGUGGUUUGUCGCGUUGUUCGUGAAAACUCACAGCUCAACUGUGGGCGUGCGGGCGAUACGGGCAGACUGGAGUACUGCAGGGGAGACUGGAAUUCCUGGUGUAGCGGUGGAAUGCGCAGAUAUCAGGAGGAACACCGGUGGCGAAGGCGGGUCUCUGGGCAGUAACUGACGCUGAGGAGCGAAAGCGUGGGGAGCGAACAGGAUUAGAUACCCUGGUAGUCCACGCCGUAAACGGUGGGUACUAGGUGUGGGUUUCCUUCCUUGGGAUCCGUGCCGUAGCUAACGCAUUAAGUACCCCGCCUGGGGAGUACGGCCGCAAGGCUAAAACUCAAAGAAAUUGACGGGGGCCCGCACAAGCGGCGGAGCAUGUGGAUUAAUUCGAUGCAACGCGAAGAACCUUACCUGGGUUUGACAUGCACAGGACGUGCCUAGAGAUAGGUAUUCCCUUGUGGCCUG
rnacentral:rRNA from 1 species